CCGUGUCCUGUGGUGAAGAUCGUGGCCGCUCCAUACCUAGAUAACCGUUAUGAUUUCAAAGUUUAUACUUGACAUCCAUUUUAACCACCACCAGAGGGCGUGUCUUGAUGUAUGUACAACUUCCUAGGUCAAAGGUCAAGGUCAAAAAAACUUUGGUUUCAGUUGACAACCCCGUGUCCUGUGGUGAAGAUCGUGUCCGCUCUAUAUCUUGAGAACCGUUAUGAUGUCAAAUAUUAUACUUGACAUCCAUUUUAACCAACACCAGAGGGCGUGUCAUGAUGUAUGUACAACUUCCUAGGUCAAAGGUCAAGGUCAAAAA
rnacentral:lncRNA from 1 species